rnacentral:pre_miRNA from 1 species
ACAACAUUCGGACUGUCAGUCUGCCGAGCAAUAUCACCCGCUCGAUGAAAUAUCUUUCAUUUGACGU